GAUGAACGCUGGCGGUAUGCUUAACACAUGCAAGUCGAACGGACUCUUCGGAGUUAGUGGCGGACGGGUGAGUAACGCGUGAGAAUCUGGCUUUGGGUUCGGGACAACCACUGGAAACGGUGGCUAAUACCGGAUGUGCCGAGAGGUAAAAGAGAAAUUGCCUGAAGAUGAGCUCGCGUCUGAUUAGCUAGUUGGUGAGGUAAAGGCUCACCAAGGCAGCGAUCAGUAGCUGGUCUGAGAGGAUGACCAGCCACACUGGGACUGAGACACGGCCCAGACUCCUACGGGAGGCAGCAGUGGGGAAUUUUCCGCAAUGGGCGAAAGCCUGACGGAGCAAUACCGCGUGAGGGAAGAAGGCUCUUGGGUUGUAAACCUCUCUUCUUAGGGAAGAACAAAAUGACGGUACCUAAGGAAUCAGCAUCGGCUAACUCCGUG
rnacentral:rRNA from 1 species